rnacentral:rRNA from 1 species
GACGUAGGGCGCGAGCGUUGUCCGGAUUUAUUGGGCGUAAAGAGCUCGUAGGCGGCUUGUUGCGUCAGCUGUGAAAACCCGCAGCUCAACUGUGGGCGUGCGGGCGAUACGGGCAGACUGGAGUACUGCAGGGGAGACUGGAAUUCCUGGUGUAGCGGUGGAAUGCGCAGAUAUCAGGAGGAACACCGGUGGCGAAGGCGGGUCUCUGGGGCAGUAACUGACGCUGAGGAGCGAAAAGCGUGGGGGAGCGAACAGG